rnacentral:rRNA from 1 species
ACUCAAAUGAAUAGACGGGGGCCCGCACAAGCAGUGGAGUAUGUGGUUUAAUUCGAAGCAACGCGAAGAACCUUACCAGGGCUUGACAUACCAACGACAGGUGUAGAGAUACACCCUUCUUCGGACGUUGGAUACAGGUGGUGCAUGGUUGUCGUCAGCUCGUGUCGUGAGAUGUUGGGUUAAGUCCCGCAACGAGCGCAACCCUUAUUGUUAGUUGCCAUCAUUUAGUUGGGCACUCUAGCGAGACUGCCGGUGACAAAUCGGAGGAAGGUGGGGACGACGUCAAAUCAUCAUGCCCCUUAUGUCCUGGGCUACACACGUACUACAAUGGCCGGAAACAACAGGAAGCGAAGCCGCGAGGUGGAGCAAAUCCCCAAACCCGGUCUCAGUUCAGAUUGCAGGCUGAAACUCGCCUGCAUGAAGUCGGAAUUGCUAGUAAUCGCAGAUCAGCAUGCUGCGGUGAAUACGUUCCCGGGCCUUGCACACACCGCCCGU